GCCACCCCUCAGCAUUUCCUCGGCGUCUUUCGCGUCCCCGCUGGCGCAGGCCGCUAGGAACUCCGCAGCCGCUUCGAACCUCACCCGCCUUGGGCUCGAACCACUGACUGCCCCGGCACCCGCCAGCCACCGCGGCUCGCCCGGUUCUAAAUCGGUGCAAGAACCCCGCCAGCGUUUCAGCUGCAGUUUGCGCUUCUCCUUAGCGGCGAUGGCAGCUGCAGCGGCAGCACCGCUUCCCGCCCGCUCCGACAUCUUGAACUGCAGCCGCCCUCUUUCUGCUGCCUGGACUCUGCGUCCUGACGCCAAUCCGGCGUCUGACGUAAAGUCUACCAUCCUCUGGGAAACGUAGUUCAAUUGCGGACGACGCGAAGGAUUGUGGCAGCUGUAGUCGUAGCGCACGCGUAGAGCUAUCAGGCUGAAUGACAGGGUCACCAGGAAUGUUGGAGUUGUAGUUUGUGCUCAAUUUUUUUCAUUCAUCAAUGGGAUCCGCUUUUUUUUAGUUUUCGUCAUUUGUUGAAUUUAAAAUAGAUUUAUUCUUUACCAAUAACAGUACAGCCUAACAUGAGGUUGUUUAUUUUUGCUUUAUUAACGGGAUCAGGGCAUCGAUCACGACUAGGCAGCAUUUAUUGCCCAUCCCCAAUUGCCCAGAAGAUUCAACCACAUUGCUGUGGGUCUGGAGUCACAUAUAGCCAGACCAGCUGUGAACGAGAGGAAUCUGAUGUACACCCACAGCCUUUUUGCCAUUAUCUAUAUUAGCCCUCCUGUGCAACAUAACAGGCUGUGGGAAAAGGUCUCCAACCCCUCUGAGAUGCCCCUCGAUUGCCCACGAAUUAAAAACUGAAGCCCAUGAGCAAUUCAGGAAAAUAAUAAUGGGUGAGUGGGAAGACCUGAUGCAGACUGGGUGGUCACUUCACCAAACCCCUCUACAACAAUCACUGGAAAUGAGUUGAGAAAAAUAACAUUGAACAGCCAUGAUGGAAUAAAUGGAUCUUCAAGAAGAUUUUCGGAAAGAGAGAAAGAGUGAAACAUAGUGAACAGUUUUAGGGAGAGAAUCCAAGAGUCCAGAGUUAUUAUGACAGUUGGCUGUUCCAUUUAUAGUGGAACAAAAGUGGGGAUACAUUGACUUCAAAAAAUCGGAAGCUGUGACCUGGAAUAACUUCUGGAGGAAAGGCAGAGAGUUCAAGAGUUCAAGAGUUGCAAAACCUUUGGAAAGAAAAAAAUGCUCAUCCCUGUCCUGGAAUGGUGGCCACCAGUUCUUCAUUUGAAAGAUGCUACCAGACCUGCUGAAUUUCUCCAGCAUUCUGUUUUUGUUUCAAAAUGAAAUGCUGGUUGUCCAAAAGAAAGCAAUUGGAGAAAAAUUUAAAGGAAAUUGCAAAAGGGCCAGAGAUGGUGGUGAGGACCUUCUGAAACUCCUGUCCAAACUUAUAUCCUACUCCAGUCCGUACUCUUCAGAAGGAAGUUCCAGGAUGGUGGAGGAAUAAAGAUUUUUGUCCAAUUUGGGUGUGUGACUUAGGGGGGAAUAUGAAGAUGAUGGUAUUCCUACGCACCCCUUUGGUGGUGGGGUACAUGAGUUGGGGAAGUGCUGCUAAAACAAUGCUGUGAUGAUAGUGAAGGGAACUGAUAUUUAAGAGAGUGGAGGUGGUACCAAUCAAAAAGGCUAAUUUGUACUGGAUGUUGGUGUCAAGUUCCUUGAGUGUUGAUGUUGUCAGCUGUACCGACCCAGACAAGUGGGGAGUACCACUGACUAGACACCGAUCAACUGAACUAGAAACUAUAUAAACACUAGGUUUCGAGGUGAAUAACAUCGAUGAAGAGUCAUCUAGACUCACCAUGUUAGUUUACUGUCUCUCCACGGAUGCUGCCUGACCCGCUGUGAUCUCCAGCAUUUUUUGUUUUCAGCACAGAUUCCAACAUCUGCAGUAAUUUGGUCCUUAAUAACUCAUCUCCUGACUAUCCAAACACAAUGCACCAUCUACGAGGAACAAGUUAGGUACAGGAACAAGUCAAGUCGGCGAGUACUUGUGACUUGUCUCGUUUAAAAUGGCUCAUGUGACACUCAAGAAACUUGACAACAUCUAGGACAAAAUGGUCUAUUUGAUUGCAAUCCCAUCCACCAAUUUAAGCAUUCAUUCCCAACACCUCCACUGUAUGUACCGCCCAUGAGAUAUAGUGCAGCCACUCACUAACACUCCUUCAACAGUGCCUUCCAAACCCAUGACCUUUGCAAUAUAGAAGGACAAAGGCAGCAGGCACAUGGAAUAUCAUUACUUGAAAGUCGCCCUUCAAGUCACACCAUAUCAUGAUUCAGAAUUAUACUGUCAUUCCUUAACUAAUGAUGGGCCCAAAACCCAAAAAUCUUUUCCUAAUAAUACAGUGGGUGUCCCUACACCUUAUGGACCACAGUGGUUCAAGAAAGUGGCUCACUCCAACUUCUAGAGGGGACUUAGAUAUGGACAAUUUCAAACAGAAUCUAUUUUCAGAGCUUUCAGGUCCUACCUGAUAAUCCACCCACAUCCAUUUUCUUGAGGUUUUUGGCCUCCAGGACAAUGACUGUGAGUUUUCCUGCUGUCGGGACAUAGCGGAGGGAGAAGCAGAUGUCGCCCAGUUUCUCUUGCUUUAAUAAAUGACAAAAAAGUUCUUGAAAAUUUCACAACAGAAAUCCGACACCAAGGUUUAUCACAAAUUAACUUGUCAAAUUUAGCAACGACAGCAAAUAUACUCAUAUUUAUAUAUAAUCUAAAGGAUAAAGCUUUGAGCUGAACCUUAAAUGAAUAUUAGAUCAGUCAUGCUUCUGAUGCCUUCUCGAUCAUCAUAUUAAAUUUCCAGAUGGAUAUAUGUGCAAAUGACUGCUGUUUGCACCAAUAUAUUG